UACGUAGGGUGCAAGCGUUGUCCGGAAUUAUUGGGCGUAAAGAGCUCGUAGGCGGUUUGUCGCGUCUGCUGUGAAAACUGGAGGCUCAACCUCCAGCCUGCAGUGGGUACGGGCAGACUAGAGUGCGGUAGGGGAGAUUGGAAUUCCUGGUGUAGCGGUGGAAUGCGCAGAUAUCAGGAGGAACACCGAUGGCGAAGGCAGAUCUCUGGGCCGUAACUGGACGCUGAGGAGCGAAAGCAUGGGGAGCGAACAG
rnacentral:rRNA from 1 species